CAGCUGCCAAUUAAUCAACCUGCUUAAACAAAUAAAUGAACUACAACUACUACUAACAAAAACAAUCAAACAAACUCACAGUAGUUAACUGAAGUUAUUAAAUACCAAUUGUUUUUGUUCUGUUUGUUUUCCAUAAAUCUGGCUUGGUUUUGCAGGGGGUAAGUUCCACUUCUUACUUGUGAUUUCACAAAAUGUUACACUUAUGAUAAUGUAAUAAAUUAAGAGUUAAUUAUAAAUUAAUAGAUCUGUGCUGCCAGCAAAAUUUUUUUGAAACUGAAAAAAUUUCAAAUGCUCUUGGAAAAAUCAUAGCAAAGAUUCUUUAAGUAUAUCAUUUGUCACAAAGAUGCAAUCAACAAUUUGUAUUCUAUGGAGAAGGGAAUAUUUUCAAGUGACACUCAUUGUGCACAUUCUCUUAGCUUCUAUACAUUUUUUAACAGCUCUUUGUUAACUGUCUCUUUGUUAUCAAAUGGACUGAAAGUUACAAACACCAAUUUUAACCCUGAAUAUUGAAACAGUAACUUUUCCUUACACCAAGAGUGAUGAUUUACACAUAGAAGACAAAUUCUUCUAAACUUUUUUUUGACACUGAAAUAACUAGUUGAAGUUGUUAGGGGAACCCUUUCAUGUUAUGGAUUUCAUUUUCAAGUUGCCUGUUUAUAGAUGUUUGUCUGGAAAAAGUGUCACAGUAACUAAUGAGAAUGUUUGCAGUUGGGAAAAAAAUGCGAAUUUCUCAAAUUUACAGCUGUUAAAUUAUUUUCACAUUAUAAUAAUCUUAAAUUAACUUCUUCUUUUUCAUUUUAACAAAUGUUCCGUUACAACAAUGGACAAUUUGUGAACAGGGGAUGUGUCAAGCCUGUGGUAAACUUGAUAACCUAGAGGGAUGUGUGAGGGGCCAACAUGUAUCUGUUGAUUCAAGAGACAAGAACACUUCAACAACUAUCACUGCCUUUCUUACAUGAAUAGUCCUGGAAGAUUAAUUUUUUACUGCUAUAAAGUUUUCAGCUCUUGCAAUAUAAAGAAUAAUUUUAGUCAUACCUAAGCUUUAUUGCUGCCUUCUGAAUGUUUUCCAUUGAAUUAAUUUUCGACACUAUAUCUGCAGUCAAAUGUAGCUUUACUUUAUAAAGUGUGGUCUAAAUAUUUAUUCUGCUCAAGGUCUGAGGAUCUUACCAAAAAAAAUAACAUUUUAUAUUACCAGACAGCUAUGGUAAUAGGCAAGACAAAUAUCAUUGUUGUGAACAAACAACUAGACAUUAAAUUAUUAGUGGUAUUAUCUUUCACAUACAACUAUGUAAUGUCUGUUAAAUUGGUAUUUACAUCCAUGUGUAUGAAUCAAGCUAAUGUUUCAGAAGUAUAAGGUAUUUUAAAAAUUUGUGUUAAAACAUGUAGUACAUUUAAUGUAAGUUUUCUCUCUAUCAACAUUAUUACUAGUUUAAAAUAAAGGUUAUUUUCUUUAAA